ensembl:lncRNA LINC02763 long intergenic non-protein coding RNA 2763
GCACUCAUUUCCAGAGAGAUCCUGGACUGGAGGGACAGGAGCGUGACCCAGGCUGUUCAUCAUGAAUGGUAGGGCCCGCUGGGAGCAUGCUCCUCUCCUAAAAUGGACUCACAACUCUUCCUCUCUGUCAGGCUGGCUGGGGCUUCCAGGGAGCUCAAGAUCAAAUCCGGGGGCAAAGAGACAGAAGAACUAAAACUCAGAGUGACCACCAAUGCAGCUAUGAAACAGGUGGCAACAGCCAAGUGGAAGAAGCCAAGUGAAGGGCUAUGGGGACCUAGAAGAUGGAGUCGUCACACAGUGGAAGAAUUGCAGAUCUCUGAGUCACCAUUUGGACAAGAACCUACUAGAACAGGUGCCUGAACAAGAACACUGGACUUUGUGGAUACUGCUGGAAGAUGGACAGUGAAUUGUCAGAAUUCAGAAGUUCCAGGUCAGAGGUUGACUCAGCCACCCCUGGGCUGAUGGAACCAUCAGAAGGAUCCUCUGAUUCAGUCCCCAAACUGGGCCCUGUGGAGCAGCAUCCCAGACAGCAGGAAUCGGACCUGCAAUUACUCCUUGGGACUCAGGGAGGAGUUUUAACAAGAAAACUGCACAUCUUCAGAGCAGGUGGUCUUUUCUGUCUCUAUAAUCAAACAAAAAUUUUUUUCGACUGUUCUAUAACAGACUGCUGCCUGGGAUCCUAGAACUGUUGCGUUUUUGAUCUUCCUCUUCGCAGCAUGGACAGUGGAUCCCCUUGAUCUGCAAGCCCUGCCCUGCCUCUCUCUGCACGCUGGGGGUUCAGGGAGGCUACACCCUUGGGGGGCACUGGGAGCUGCUGGAGAUGUGCACAGCGAGCAGUGGAGAGCAGUCGUCUCUUCUGAUCUACAUGCAGGGGAACUGGUGAGAGUUGCCGUAGGACCUCUGGUGAAAUUACCUUGGCUACUGACUAGUAAAGAGAUGAGAAAGGAGAGGUACUAUAGAUUUUCUUUAAGAAAUAAAUAUUGUCUCCUCUUUCUCUCUUUUCUCUGGUAAACAGUGCCCAAAUUUGGAAAUAUCACGUGUAAUUUAUUGUCCCACUUUAAAUGUUUCUUGUAACCAUGAAUUACUAUUCUUGGAUCAGAUUCCAUUAUAAUAAACUCCCACUUGGACUCCAAA